GCUGGCGGCGCGCCUAACACAUGCAAGUCGAGCGAGAACCAGGGCUUCGGCCCUGGGGACAGCGGCGAACGGGUGAGUAACACGUGGAUAACCUGCCCUCGGCACCGGAAUAGCCCGGGGAAACCCGGAUUAAUGCCGGAUAGCCCCACAUCCCUGCGGGGAACGUGGGAAAAGGUAGCUUCGGCCUCUGGCCGAGGAUGGGUCCGCGGUGGAUUAGCUUGUUGGCGGGGUAACGGCCCACCAAGGCGACGAUCCAUAGCUGGUCUGAGAGGACGAUCAGCCACACUGGGACUGAGACACGGCCCAGACUCCUACGGGAGGCAGCAGUGGGGAAUCUUGCGCAAUGGGCGAAAGCCUGACGCAGCGACGCCGCGUGCGGGAAGAAGGCCUUCGGGUUGUAAACCGCUUUCAGGAGGGACGAAGCCACUCGGGUUAAUAGCCCAGAGGGUGACGGUACCUCCAGAAGAAGCCCCGGCUAACUACGUGCCAGCAGCCGCGGUAAUACGUAGGGGGCAAGCGUUGUCCGGAUUCAUUGGGCGUAAAGAGCGUGUAGGCGGCCAGGUAGGUCGGUUGUGAAAACUGGAGGCUCAACCUUCAGAG
rnacentral:rRNA from 1 species